rnacentral:rRNA from 1 species
UACAGAGGGUGCAAGCGUUAAUCGGAGUUACUGGGCGUAAAGGGCGUGUAGGCUGAUAUUUAAGUCGGCUGUGAAAUCCCUGGGCUUAACCUGGGAAUUGCAGUCGAUACUGAAUGUCUAGAGUAUGGUAGAGGAAAGUGGAAUUCUCGGUGUAGUGGUUAAAUACGUAGAUAUCGAGAAGAACACCGGUGGCGAAGGCGGCUUUCUGGACCAAUACUGACGCUGAGGCGCGAAAGCGUGGGGAG